ACUGUUGACGUGGACGUGUGUCAAACAGUUUUGGAACGACACAGAGCAAAGCUUGUCCGUCGACCGCUUGGUAAAUCCGCUAUUCUGGAAUGUGAAAAAAGGCGUUCUUCCACACUUUCCCAGCAAACAGCGAAGUUUCUAGAGUCCAGUCCAGCAUGGCUGUGCGGUC